rnacentral:rRNA from 1 species
ACGGAAUAGAUACCCGGGUAGUCCACGCUGUAAACGAUGAGUGCUAGAUGCCGGAUUUUUCGGUGUCGCAGCUAAACGCAUUAAGCACUCCACCUGGGAAGUACGAUCGCAAGGUUGAAACUCAAAGGAAUUGACGGGGGCCCGCACAAGCAGUGGAGCAUGUGGUUUAAUUCGAUGCAACGCGAAGAACCUUACCUAGGCUUGAAAAGCUUAUGACCGGCUGUGAAAGCAGCUUUCCCGCAAGGGCAUAAGUACAGGUGCUGCAUGGCUGUCGUCAGCUCGUGCCGUGAGGUGUUGGGUUAAGUCCCGCAACGAGCGCAACCCUUACCAUUAGUUGCCACCGGAGCAAUCCGAGCACUCUAAUGGAACUGCCUACGCAAGUAGUGAGGAAGGUGAGGACGACGUCAAGUCCGCAUGGCCCUUACGCCUAGGGCUACACACGUGCUACAAUGGCCGCCACAACGGGCAGCAAAAUCGCGAGAUGGAGCGAAUCCCUAAAAAGCGGCCUCAGUUCGG